rnacentral:rRNA from 1 species
AACGUAGGUACCGAGCGUUAUCCGGAUUCACUGGGCGUAAAGCGCGUGCAGGUGGUAUGGUAAGUCGGGCAUGAAAACUCUUGGCUCAACUGAGAGACGCUGUCCGAUACUGCCGAACUUGAGGGUGUAAGAGGGAGGUGGAAUUCCGCAUGUAGUGGUGAAAUGCGUAGAUAUGCGGAGGAACACCAGUGGCGAAGGCGGCCUCCUGGUACACUCCUGACACUCAGACGCGAAAGCUAGGGGAGCAAACAGG